rnacentral:rRNA from 1 species
GAUGAACGCUGGCGGCGUGCUUAACACAUGCCAGUCGAACGGAAAGGCCCAAGCUUUCUUGGGUACUCGAGUGGCGAACGGGUGAGUAACACGUGGGUGAUCUGCCCUGCACUUCGGGAUAUGCCUGGGAAACUGGGUCUAAUACCGGAUAGGACCACCUUUUGGAUGGUGUGGUGGAAAGUUUUUCGGUGUGGGAUUAGCUCGCGGCCUAUCAGCUUGUUGGUGGGGUAAUGGCCUACCAAGGCGUCGACGGGAAGCCGGACUGGGGAAGUGUACGGCCAAAUAGGGAAGGAGAGAAGGCCCAGACGGCGAAGGGAGGAAGAAGGGGGGAAGAGUGAACAAGGGGCGCAAGCCGGAUGCAGAGAGGCCGCGGGGGGGAAGACGGCCUUGGGGUUGAAAAAAACGUUCGCUAGGGACGAAGCGUGAUGUGACGGUACCUGGAGAAGAAGCACCGGCUAACUACGUG